UUUUUUAAUUUUUUACAAAAAAUUUUUUCAAAAAAAAAAAAAAAAAAAAAAAAU
rnacentral:ribozyme from 12 species